rnacentral:rRNA from 1 species
AUUUGACCUCAAAUCAGGUAGGAGUACCCGCUGAACUUAAGCAUAUCAAUAAGCGGAGGAAAAGAAAAUAACAAUGAUUCCCCUAGUAACUGCGAGUGAAGAGGGACAAGCUCAAAUUUUAAAUCUGUUAGGUUUACCUAACCGAGUUGUAAUUUGAAGAGGCGUUUUCUGUGUUUCUGAUCAGCCCAAGUCCUUUGGGAUAGGGCAUCAUGGAGGGUGAGAAUCCCGUUCGGUUGGUCAGAUUCGCUUUACGAUACGUCAUCUAAGAGUCAAGUUGUUUGGGAUUGCAGCUUAAAAUGGGAGGUAAAUUUCUCCUAAGGCUAAAUAACGGCGAGAGACCGAUAGCGAACAAGUACCGUGAGGGAAAGAUGAAAAGAACUUUGAAAAGAGAGUUAAACAGUACGUGAAAUUGUUGAAAGGGAAACGAUUGAAGCCAGUCGUACCUUCGGGUAAUCAGCCUUUCGGGUGCGAUUCUGUGGAGCGUGAGGAGUUAAACGCCUUCAUGCCUGCAUAUUCGUGCACUUUGGGUGUACUUGCCCGUGUGGUAGGUUAACAUCAAUUUCGGAUAUCAUAAAAUGGCUGGAGGAAUGUAGCUUCGGUCUCGUACUGAAGUGUUAUAGCCUCUGGUAGAUGUGAUGACCGGGAUUGAGGAUUGCAACGAAUACCUUUUGGGCUACCCGCCUGAUCUCUGAAAGUUGCUCUGGUGCCGAAAGCUUGCUUACGGUUAUCAAAGUUGACGUUCAAAAGGUUAGAACGGGUUAAAUUCGUUAAGGAUGUUGACGUAAUGGCUUUAAACGACCCGUCUUGAAACACGGACCAAGGAGUCUAACAUAUAUGCGAGUGUUU